AGUGAAUAGAUACCCCUGGUAGUCCCACGCUGUAAACGAUGAGUGCUGGACGUUGGCGGGUUUACCUGCCGGUGUCGCAGCUAACGCGUUAAGCACUCCGCCUGGGGAGUACGGCCGCAAGGUUAAAACUCAAAGGAAUUGACGGGGGCCCGCACAAGCGGUGGAGCAUGUGGUUUAAAUUCGACGCAACGCGCAGAACCUUACCAGCCCUUGACAUGGGCGGACGGGGUCCAGAGAUGGACUCUUUCUCGCAAGAGACCGCUACGACAGGUGCGUGCAUGGCUGUCGUCAGCUCGUGUCGUGACGAUGUUGGGUUAAGUCCCGUCAACGAGCGCAACCCGUCGUCGUCCAGUUGCCGAUCGGGUACGAGCCGGGUCACUUUGGAGAAACUG
rnacentral:rRNA from 1 species